UGGGGAAUAUUGCACAAUGGGCGCAAGCCUGAUGCAGCCAUGCCGCGUGUGUGAAGAAGGCCUUCGGGUUGUAAAGCACUUUCAGCGAGGAGGAAGGUGGUGAGCUUAAUACGCUCAUCAAUUGACGUUACUCGCAGAAGAAGCACCGGCUAACUCCGUGCCAGCAGCCGCGGUAAUACGGAGGGUGCAAGCGUUAAUCGGAAUUACUGGGCGUAAAGCGCACGCAGGCGGUUUGUUAAGUCAGAUGUGAAAUCCCCGGGCUCAACCUGGGAACUGCAUUUGAAACUGGCAAGCUAGAGUCUCGUAGAGGGGGGCUAGAAUUCCAGGUGUAGCGGUGAAAUGCGUAGAGAUCUGGAGGAAUACCGGUGGCGAAGGCGGCCCCCUGGACGAAGACUGACGCUCAGGUGCGAAAGCGUGGGGAGCAAACAGGAUUAGAUACCCCUGGUAGUCCACGCUGUAAACGAUGUCGAUUUUGGAGGUUGUGCCCUUGAGGCGUGGCUUCCGGAGCUAACGCGUUAAAUCGACCGCCUGGGGAGUACGG
rnacentral:rRNA from 1 species